UUUUGGCAGCGUAUCGCCAGAGUUAGCGGCAGACGGGUGAGUAAUAUUUAAACAAUCUUCCCUCGAGUGGGAAACAACCUGGCGAAAGUCGGGCUAAUGUCCCAUAAGACCACACUUCGGCAUCGGAGAGAGGUCAAAGGUCCGCAAGGGCCGCUUAAGGAGGAGUUUAAAUCCUAUCAUGGUAGUUGGUGAGGUAACGGCUCACCAAGCCUACGACGGGUAGCCGGCCUGAAAGGGUGAUCGGCCACACUGGCACUGAGACACGGGCCAGACUCCUACGGGAGGCAGCAGUGGGGAAUUUUGGACAAUGGGGGCAACCCUGAUCCAGCGACGCCGCGCGAAGGAUGAAGGCCUUCGGGUUGUAAACUUCUUUUAGAGGGGAUGAAUGGUUUGGUGAAUAGCCAAACGUGACAGUACUCUCUGAAUAAGCCACGGCUAACUACGUGCCAGCAGCCGCGGUAAUACGUAGGUGGCAAGCGUUACUCGGAAUCACUAGGCGUAAAGCGCAGGUAGGCGGUUGGAUAAGUUUCUUGUGAAAGCUCCCGGCUCAACUGGGAGAGGCCAAGGAAUACUAUCUGACUAGAGUGUGGUAGGGGUAACUGGAAUUCCCGGUGUAGCGGUGAAAUGCGUAGAUAUCGGGAGGAAUACUUAUGGCGAAGGCAGGUUACUGGGCCAUCACUGACGCUGAGCUGCGAAAGCUAGGGGAGCAAACAGGAUUAGAUACCCUGGUAGUCCUAGCCCUAAACGAUGCUCAUUAGAUGUGGGAGGUAUCGACCCCUUCCGCGUCGGCGCUAACGCAUUAAAUGACCGCCUGGGGAGUACGGCCGC
rnacentral:rRNA from 1 species